rnacentral:lncRNA from 1 species
AGCGUCUGUUGUCGCGACUCGUCAGGGAGUGGUGGAACUGCACAAGAUCCGUCGCAGGAAGUGGAGCAGAAUCAUGGCCGUUACUGCGGCCUGCCAGGGAGUGAUAGAGCCGCGUAGGGUCCGUCGUAGGGAGUGGAGCAGAGUCGUGGCCGUUACUGCAGCCUGUCAGGGAGUGAUGGAGCCGCGUAGGGUCCGCCGCAGGGAGUGGAGCAGAGUCGUGGCCGUUACUGCGGCCUGCC